CCUACGGGAGGCAGCAGUGGGGAAUAUUGGGCAAUGGGCGCAAGCCUGACCCAGCAACGCCGCGUGAAGGAUGAAGGCCUUCGGGUUGUAAACUUCUUUUAACAGGGAAGAGCAGAAGACGGUACCUGUUGAAUAAGCCACGGCUAACUAUGAGCCACCGGCCGCGGUAAUACGUAGGUGGCAAGCGUUGUCCGGGUUUACGGGGUGUAAAGGGCGUGCAGCCGGGUUUAUAAGGCAGGGUGGAAAUCCCGCGGCCCAACCGGGGAACUGCAAUUGAAACUGUAGAGCUUGAGUACUGGAGAGGCAGGCGGAAUUCGUGGUGUAGCGGUGAAAUGCGUAGAUAUUAGGAGGAACACC
rnacentral:rRNA from 1 species